GUGAACGCUGGCGGUAGGCCUAACACAUGCAAGUCGAGCGGCAGCACAGUAAGAGCUUGCUCUUACGGGUGGCGAGUGGCGGACGGGUGAGGAAUACAUCGGAAUCUACUUUUUCGUGGGGGAUAACGUAGGGAAACUUACGCUAAUACCGCAUACGACCUACGGGUGAAAGCAGGGGAUCUUCGGACCUUGCGCGAUUGAAUGAGCCGAUGUCGGAUUAGCUAGUUGGCGGGGUAAAGGCCCACCAAGGCGACGAUCCGUAGCUGGUCUGAGAGGAUGAUCAGCCACACUGGAACUGAGACACGGUCCAGACUCCUACGGGAGGCAGCAGUGGGGAAUAUUGGACAAUGGGCGCAAGCCUGAUCCAGCCAUACCGCGUGGGUGAAGAAGGCCUUCGGGUUGUAAAGCCCUUUUGUUGGGAAAGAAAAGCAGCAGGUUAAUACCCCGCUGUUCCGACGGUACCCAAAGAAUAAGCACCGGCUAACUUCGUG
rnacentral:rRNA from 1 species